CCCUCAUCCUUUAUUCGGGUUUGGGACCGCUACUUAAAUUUUCAGUAGGCGGAGUUAAAAAUUGUACACGAACAAUUUUUUGUAGAGUGUACAAUUUUUUAAAGAAAAUUGAAAGUAACGAUAAGAAAGAAAAGUUUUAUCAAUAUAAUUAAAUCAAAUAUCACUUACUUGACGACAUGCAAUUUCGGCAUAUUUAUCUUGUAAUCGAAAAUUAGCGUCCUGUCAAUCCUUAACGCAUAUUAACGCUUCUAAAAUAUCUUCUUUCAGUCGACUCCUGACCUCGCUCAAAACUCUUUUACCUGCACAAAAAGCAGACUCCGCAGCAACAGUGCUAACCGGAGGUGUCAGCAGAUCUUUUGCAAUCGCAGAUAUAACUGACCAACGUCAUUCAUACCUUCGCCAGAAUUCAAUUACUUCGUCUGAUCUUUUUUUAAUUGCUUUAUCUGUUGGCAUAUUUUGGUUGAAAUAAUCAAUUAAUUCAGUAGGCAAUGCAUUAUGGUUUGAGCCCGCAGAUGUAUGAUGAGAAUGAGAUACAGAUGGUGAUGACAUGGCAGUGGUAGUAGAUGAACACAUUGCAGAUGAAUCAAAUUUAUAUGAGUUAAUACCUUGAAAUAAAUUAAAUAUUUACGCAUCUUCAUCAAUUUCAAUGGAAGGAGUAGGUGCAGAUGGUACCCGACUAAUAUUGGUAUCCAUUCGAUUCGUAUAUAAUUCAUACAUUUUACAUAAUGUUUGCUCUAAAUUUCUAUAUGUGAUAGGUGUAUUAAAUGUUAAGGCGUUUGAAAUUUGAUCAAUUAUAUAUUUAGUUCCCGAUAAAUUAUAUCGGGAGUCCAUCAUGCAUGCUAAAAGAAAUAACAUAGGCAAAUCUUCCCAAUAUUUUCUAAAUUUUAAUUUCAUAGCAAUUAUAAUUUCACUAAAAUCAGGGUCAUUUCUAUAUUUAUGAAAUAUUUUUGCAAUUAUAUAAAGACGUUCAAGCACCAUACAGUUGGUGGGAUAGUAAAUGCUCGAUAAAAUCUUAGUGGUUUCAUAAAAGGAUGUCAAAUUUUUUUUAACUUUCAAAGCUAAAUACCAAUCACGAUCAGUCAACAUACCCUCGUCAUCACUUCUAACAUGUCUAUUGUUAUAAAAGUCAGUUAUUAAAUGUUCAAAACCUUCACAUAACUUUAAUAACAAGUAAGUAGAGUUCCACCCAUGACCUACAUCACUAAUAAAUGUUUUAGCAUUUUGCACUCUUAUUUCGGCACAAUAAUCCUCAAAUGCUUGUUUUCUACUUGGAGAGACUGUGAUAUAUAUUAGUGCGUUCCUAAUAUUUUGAAGUUCAUCCUUUAUAUAUUUUAAAACAUCUUGGACAAUUAAAUUAAAAAUAUGACACACAAGGAAUAUGAAAUAAAUACCCACCAAAAUCAGGUUGUAGUACCUUAUGCUUUUUCAGCAACUAUUUUACUAACACUAGCAUUAUCGAAAGUAAAUAAACGAAUUUUACCUUCGCAAUGAUAUUCUCUAAUAAUACUAAUAAUAGCAUUAAAUAUAUUAUUAGCGUUGUGAAGAAACUCAAUAAUUCUAAAAGCAAUAAUGUGCAGUGGCAGCUAUAUAUGCUCUUUUAUUAAUCCCUUCCUAUAUAUCUGAAGUUAAAGAUAUGACACCUUCAUAUUUUUGUAAAUUCAUAAUUAAUUGUUGUUUUGUUGAAUUAAAAUACUAUAUUGUAUCAGAAUGAAGAGUGUUUCGACUUACCCCAACCUACCUUGGCUGCAGAUAUUCUUUCACAUACGAGAUGUAGUGUUGGUUGUCAAUUAAUGCCAAAGGCAACUCAGCACCAGCAACAAGUUUCACCAUUCCGGUUUGAGCUUUCUCCUCCGAAUACACCCAUGUGGAUAGGGAUGCAGUAGAACCACCGGCGUCUGGAUUGCCAAAUUGCAAUUGUGUUUGACAGCUUGGAAUAAGUCCGUGUUUGGCCGCACAUACUUUGUAAUAACUGUUGAGAUGGGUGGUACCAAUUCCUCUUUGCUAUGCCAAUCUUUGUUGGCAGUAUUUACAUACUGCUUUGGAUUCUUGGACUUCAUUGAUGAUUUUUCCCGUUGAAAUCAAUUUAAAGUGAUCACAACAUUUUGCUUGUUUUUUUCCCCUUUCUCUUUCCUCUCACAUCAGAAAUGUUUAAUUCAGCCUGUUCUUUCUGAUCGUGUUCCUCUUCGAGAACGUCAUCAUCAUCCAAAUUAAUUGGAUAAUUUGGCAUGCCGCUUACAUGAAGAUCCAAAUCUGAAAUAUUUUCAGGUAGGGGUACGCCAUUUAGACCUUCAAAUUGAUUCUGAAAUUGACUUUGCGAUGUCAUAGGCGAUUUGUUUCCUCCCACACUGAACAAGUUUUUGACAAAUGAGCGUGGAUCCAUUUGUUUAGUUGUAAUAAGUAAUAACUAGUAGAAGAAUAAUUGUAUAAAUGUAGUGAGAAAUGAAAAUUGGAUGAAAUUUCA
rnacentral:lncRNA from 1 species